GUAGGUAGCAAGCGUUGUCCGGAAUUAUUGGGGCGUAAAGCGCGCGCAGGCGGUUCUUUAAGUCUGAUGUGAAAGCCCACGGGCUCAACCGUGGAGGGUCAUUGGAAACUGGAGAACUUGAGUACAGAAGAGGAAAGCGGAAUUCCACGUGUAGCGGUGAAAUGCGUAGAGAUGUGGAGGAACACCAGUGGCGAAGGCGGCUUUCUGGUCUGUAACUGACGCUGAGGCGCGAAAGCGUGGGGAGCAAACAGGAUUAGAUACCCUGGUAGUCCACGCCGUAAACGAUGAGUGCUAAGUGUUAGGGGGGUUUCCGCCCCUUAGUGCUGCAGCUAACGCAUUAAGCACUCCGCCUGGGGAGUACGGCCGCAAAGGCUG
rnacentral:rRNA from 1 species